rnacentral:rRNA from 1 species
UGGGGAAUAUUGGACAAUGGGCGAAAGCCUGAUCCAGCAAUGCCGCGUGAGUGAUGAAGGCCUUAGGGUUGUAAAGCUCUUUUACCCGGGAUGAUAAUGACAGUACCGGGAGAAUAAGCCCGCUAGCUACCCGUGCCAGCAGCCGCGGUAAUACGGAGGGGCGUAGCGUUGUUCGGAAUUACUGGGCGUAAAGCGCGCGUAGGCGGCUUUGUAAGUUAGAGGUGAAAGCCCGGAGCUCAACUCCGGAAUUGCCUUUAAGACUGCAUCGCUAGAAUCAUGGAGAGGUGAGUGGAAUUCCGAGUGUAGAGGUGAAAUUCGUAGAUAUUCGGAAGAACACCAGUGGCGAAGGCGACUUCACUGGACAUGUAUUGACGCUGAGGUGCGAAAGCGUGGGGAGCAAACA